rnacentral:rRNA from 1 species
ACGCGAAGAACCUUACCUACCCUUGACAUGCCAGGAACUUGCCUGAGAUGGCUUGGUGCUCUAAAGAGAGCCUGGACACAGGUGCUGCAUGGCUGUCCUCAGCUCGUGUCGUGAGAUGUUGGGUUAAGUCCCGCAACGAGCGCAMCCCUUGCCAUUAUUUGCUACUAAAGGGCACUCUAAUGGGACUGCCGGUGACGAACCGGAGGAAGGUGGGGAUGACGUCAGGUCCUCAUGGCCCUUAUGGGUAGGGCUACACACGUCAUACAAUGGCCGGUACARAGGGCUGCCAACCCGCGAGGGGGAGCCAAUCCCASAAAACCGGUCGUAUUCCGGAUCGCAGUCUGCAACUCGACUGCGUGAAGUCGGAAUCGCUACUAAUCGCGGAUCAGCAUGUCGCGGUGAAUACGAUCCCGGGUCUUGUACUCACCGCCCGUCACACCAUGGGAGCGGGUUCUGCCAGACGAGGGUAGCCUAACCGCAAGGAGGGCGCUUACCACGGCAGGGUUCGUGACUGGGGUGAAGUC